UAGCUCAGUUGGUUAGAGCAGCUGACUCAUAAUCAGCGGGUCGGAGGUUCAAGUCC
rnacentral:tRNA from 1 species